rnacentral:misc_RNA from 1 species
GGAGGAGGUGUAUAUGGAGCAACUACCUGGGUUUGUUGCUCAGGGGGACUCUGGCUUGAUGUGCCGUCUACGAUGGUUAUCAUAUGGUUUAAAGUAGUCCCCAAGAGCAUGGUUUGGACAGUUCAGUACUGUAGUACAAUAAUUUGGAAUGUCUUGAAGUGAAGCUGAUCAUUCAGUAUUCUUUUGUCAUGGUAAGCAUGGUAAGAGCAUCUUUUUGGUGGUCUAUGUUGAUGAUAUUGUUAUAACAGGCAAUGAUAAUGAUGACAUUUCUCAACUUAAGCAAUACUUAUUCAGUCAUUUUCAAACUAAAGAUUUAGGAAAAUUAAAGUAUUUUCUAGGGAUUGAGGUAGCACAGUCCAAAAUAGGUAUAGCUAUUUCACAAAGAAAAUAUACUCUAGAUAUACUUGAAGAAAUAGAUAUGAUAGACUGUAAGUAUGUGGAUACUCCUAUGAAUAAUCCAAAUGUUAAACUUAUCCCUGGACAGGGGGAGCGUUGGGAAGACCCCGGUAGAUUUCAGAGAUUGGUUGGAAAAAUAAUUAUCUCACAAUAACAAGACCAGAUAUUUCAUUCGCCGUGAGUGUGGUUAGUCAAUUUCUCUAAGCUCCACGCAGUAAUCAUUGGGAUGCAGUAACAUGCAUUCUUAAAUAUAUCAAAGGGGCUCUAGGACAAGGUUUGCUUUAUGAAGAUAAGAGCCACUAACAAGUUGUUGGGUACUUAGAUGCAGAUUGGGCAGGAUCUCCUUCAAACAGACGGUCUACUAAGGGAUAUUGCAUUAUGAUUGGAGGU